rnacentral:sRNA from 1 species
CAUUCGAAUGAUUGUGAGGUGUCUGGGAAUGUAAUGGGUGGGAAAUCUACUAAGAAAUCAACUUACGUUACACUUAGAAAAGCUCUAGUUCUGAGGACAGAGACCUGAUGGAGUCACCAUAGUGGGAAUUUAUGACCUGGCAUCCAGUUCAGAUACCUGGAGCUUCUUGAGUGAGGGAAGAUUGGAUCCCUUGAGGAAGAGUGAAGCCUUCAAUGCUGCCACAAGUGUAUGCUGUAAAUCUUCCUCCAGGCCUUCCCCAGAAGGCCCUGAAGCCAUUUAUGUGGGUGACUGAGGAAAGGGAAAUACUCAGAGCUUCUGUGGCUUGUUGGAUGCUGGCUCUGAAGAAUGCUAAACUGAGGGCCCUGCGGUGGCCAUGAAAAUGCACUACUUGCAUCUCCAGCUGCAGGAGGCCUAACGAAUCAGCAGCCUCAGCUGCUACCCUCCGAAUGGAGGACUUGAUGACAUUUCCCCUGGAUCUGCACUAGCCCAUGAGGAGGAAAGCCUCCUAUCAAGUCCUCCCAGCAGAACACCCAUGAUGACUCAUGAGGAUGUUGAAGGUGUUUUCCUGUGGCACCUGUGACUUUCUUUCUUCAAAGUCUGUUUUGUUCCUGCACAUUAACUGAUUUAUAUAAAAUAAGAGAAUAAAUGCCUAGACUCCCAUGAGUCUAUCUUUUACUGAUAAACUCUAGUUCUGAGGACAGAAGCCUGAUGGAGUCAGUAUAGGGGGAAUUUAUAACCUGGCAUCCAGUUCAGAGACUUGGAGCUUCUUGACUGAGGGGAGAUCGGGUCCCUUUGGGGAAGAAAGAAGCCUUCAAUGUUGUCACAAGUGUAUCCUGGAAAUCUUCCUCUAAGCCUUCCUAGAGGGACCUGAUAACAUGACUUAUGAUACAGUGACCCCAAAUUCAGGGUGUUCUUGUCUACUCUCAAGAAUGCAAUAUCUUCUUCCUCUGAAUUGAACGUAGUACCAAUAUUUGUGUGUAGCUAUGCACCUUAAUAGACCAUAGCUGAUUAGAUGAGGAAUGGUAGACCCAAUUCAACCAUACAGGCAUCAACCAUAUCAGCAUACAGGCAUCCCUCUACCACCGUUUCCUUCUUGUCCCCACUCCAAAGCCUUCUCCAUUUUAUUUGUAUUAAUUUUCUAUUGCUGCAUACUAAAUUACUGCAAGCAUUAGCGGCGUAAAAUAAGAAUGAUUUAUUUUCUUGCAGUGUCCACAGAUCAGAAGUUCAGGCCUGGAUUCGCUGGGUCUUCUUCUCAGGGCCUCACAGGCUGAAAUUAGGCUGGGUUUCUUUCUGGAGGUUCUGGGGAAGAACUUCCUCUCAAGUUUCCUCAGGUUGUCAGCUGAGUUCAGUUCCUUGUGACUGUAGGACUGAGAUCUCUGUUUUCUUGCUGGCUGUCAGCCAGGGGCCUCUCGCUGUUCCUAGAGGCCUCCCAUGUUCCCACUGCAUGCUUCCUCCAGCCAGCAGAGGAGGAUCGCCCUGCAUGGAAACGCUCCUGCACUUCACAUCUCUCCAGGAAGUCCUCGGUCCCUCCAAGGAACUCACCUUCACUAGGUCACGCUCAUCAGAUAAUCUGUCUAUCUUAAAUUUGACCGAUUUGGGAUCUCGAUUACAUCUGUUAACUUGUUUUUGCCAUAAAUUGUAACACAAUCGCAGGAGUGACAUCUCCUCAGUAGCUUUGUCUACACUCAGGAAGAAGUGAUUAUAUAAGAGCAAAGAUCACUGGGGGUCAUCUUAGGAUUCUGUCUACCAUAAUAUUAUAAAGACACAGUAAUUAAAAGAGUAUAACAGAUUUCUGCUUCUGUCUGUUAGAAUAAAUCAUAUCAGACUAACCCUGCCUCCAUAAACAAACAUAAAAUUGUUUUCAGCAGUGUACAACUGGCAGUCCAAGAGAAAACUUAAGGGGGAAGCCCCAUGAUUUCCUAGUUCUUUGGGGAGAAUUUCUCAGCAGCUGCAUAGUGAGCUAGAGUCCACUCAGGGCAGGGCAGCUCACUGAGCUGAGAAGGCAGAGAUCAGAGUUCAAGACCGCUGAAGCAACUGCAAUCUGCAGGGCAGGGCACCAAUGAGGAGAGAGCUGAUCAAAGGUGCAGCUCUCAACGUCUAUGUGGGGUUCCAUGUGCAUACUUAUCAAGGAGUGGACUCUACCUGCACAAGGAAAAGACUAACAGAUUUAACAGAGGGGUGGCUGCUAUGAAAUUGAGUUUGGACCGGAGGUACUUGAGGUGGAGGAGGGUUGGGGAAUGUAUGAUGGAGUUUCUGCCAUCCAUGGUGGGAAGAACUCAUGCACACCUCAUUAGCACCCAGGUAUCCAACUGAGACACUAGAAUGGAUGUGCUUUAGGAAUAAGUGUCACACUUUUCAAUAAGGCCUAUUGUAGACCAACCUGCUGAAGCCUAAAAGCAAACCCUGACAAAUUCACAAAGGGGUGGAUUGGUGAUUGAGUCCUGCCAAAUUAGAGGGUCUUGGGAAAUGCUGUGGGCUUUCCAUGAAUCCGUUGUAAUAAAACAUAAACCAGUCCACAUAAGUCCAAAGUGAUCAGACAGUAAUUUUACUGCCCACUAGAACAAAAUUAAUUCACACAAUCAAUGACACAUGUUAGCCAGGUCGACAUUUAAGCAAAAUACAUCUAACAACAGCUAACAAAUAACUCUUCUCAAACUCACAUAGAGCAUUCAGCAAGAUAGACCACAUGUGCUGAGCCAUCCUUAGUAUUUUCUUUCCUUUCUCUUUGACUCGUGUAUAGUGUGCUCAAACUCUUAAAAUUAUACACUUUAAUGAUUAUACACUUUCAUGCAUCUCAAUUGCAUGUAAGUUAUAUUUCAAUAUAUUUGUUAAAAGUUUAUAAUUAAAAAAACUGUCCUAGCUUGAUUCAAGAAAUCUUUUUUAUAUUUAAGAAAAUGUAAUGUUAUAUAUUAUCAAGGCAAAAGAGAAAAACCAUAUGAUUACCUUGUCAUACACAGUAAAAGCAUUUGGCAAAAUUGAAAACUUUUUUCAUGAUUUAUGAAAACAAACCCCAGAAAACUCUCAGCAUGAUAAGAAGAGAAGGCAACACUUUCAACCCUAUUAAGGGUAGAUUUGAAAAAAACUCAGAGGUAACAUUAUAUUAAAUGGCAUAGGAUUGAAUGCUUUUCUAUUAAAUCAGAGAAAAAAGUAGAAUAUCUGUUGUUAUUCUUUCAAUUCAGCAUUAUACUAGAGAUCUAAAUCAAUGCAAUAAAGUAAGAAAAAUAAAUAAAAGUAUUGAAAAGAUUGAAAAGAAAGAAUUGAAGCUGUCUUUAUUCACAGAUAAUGACUGUGUAUGUUAAUAAUCCUAGAAAUCUACAAAAAUCUGCCAAAACUAAUUAGUGAGUUCGGUAAUGUUGCAGAAUAUAAGCUCAAUAGAAGUAGUCUUUUGUAUUUCUGUGUAUUAGCAAUGAGCAUUUGGAAAAUGAAAUAAAAAUACAAUUUCAUUUCAAGU